UGUAAGGAUCCAUCCUCAGUGUAACUGCCUACAAUAGCAGUGCAUAUUUUCAUGUAGUACACCUUUCGUUUUGGUUCAUACCGCCAAGGACAUUAAGAAUGUAGGCGGAACUAUAUGUCUGCAAAGGUUUCCGGGGGGACCCAUUAUAUGCACGGAUAUAUACAAGUAGUAGAAAGUUCGGUUGUCACAGCUUUCUGAAGUUAUGGCCAAGUGUUAAAAGGUGUUUAAUCUGUUCAAGAAACACUCCAAAGGAAGCUAUUCCCUCCCUGUGUUAUUUAAUGCAGCCAAUGAGGUUUGUGUUCUGUUUCUAUAUGUUAUUUGGUAUAAGUGAAGUUGAAAUAUUGCAUUGCUGCUAAUGUCGCUAAUAGGCACAUAGCUAAACCUUCAUGUAAACCUUAAGUUAAACCGUUUCUAAUACAAAUGGAUAUUUGUAUGCAAUUUCGUCAUAUAUGUUGAACUAAGGAUAUGUUAAUGUGGUUUAAAACGAAGAUAAAGGUUCAUAUUGAACAAGGACAAACAUUGACAAGGACAAAGAGCUAAUUCAUAAUGAAUAAAUAACCAUUGUUAGUUCUACAACACAAGAAAUAUUUCUUUGUAUAAGUUUACAUUUAUUUCAUAGUUAAAGGGUAUUAUAUUGGAGUUUAAAUAAGCCAUUUAUGCACAAUUGUACAUUUGUUUUUAUCUUAUUGGUUUUUGCUUGUGUAAUUCUGUAUUACAGUUCUCACGUUUAGGAAUAAAUCCUAAUCAGUGAUGUUAAGAACAGUUGUGCUGUCAUCAUUAUAUCAGAGGGAGGCACAGUGAGAACUCAAUGCUCCAGAGGACAGCACCAGAGAGCAGUGAUUUACAGUAACAAGAAAGGAUGUCUGAGAUUGAAAGAGAGUCUGUAGAUAUGCAUACGCAGCAGAGCUGUACGGACAUGAACCCACAGCCAAGUGACAGAGAUGAGCUGCAGCUUCACGCAGACAUGCCUUCACCAGUAACUGGUGGAGCAAGUGGCUAUGACUUUGUUCCUCCACAAGUGCCGAAUAGAGACCAAAGAGUCCGCAAGAUGUCGGAAAAGGGUCAAGAACUGCACGAUGAGCAAGUAAAAAGAAUUGCACGUCGUUUCAGUGUGUGCUAUGAAAGGUGGAAGGAGGUCACAAAGAAAGCCAACCAAAUGCUAAGUGAUCAAUGCUCAGCCGACCUACUGAAUGAACAUGUCACUAAAGUAAAUGAUGCUUCAAGGAGUGUGAAUGCUGUUUAUGAAGAGUUGCGACGGAAGAGUGUUCCUGACAAUGACACACGCCGUAGAGUUGACACCUGUGAAACAGUGACACAGAGGAUUGUUAAGCAAGCAAUGGCAAUUUUAGACACAAUAAAUGGUCACGGGGAUGAAGAACAAGGUGGUGAUGAGACAAGGUCCACCAAGAAGAGCAUCAGCUCUCACAGUACUAAGGCUUCUACUCAUUCCCGUCUAACUUCUGCCAGCAGAAAGAGUGCAGCUGCCGAAGUUGCCGCCAAUGAAGCCACCCUACAAGUACUGCUGGAGCAAGAACAUCAUAUUGAAGAAUUGCAGAGGCUGGAAGCUGAAGCUGCCCAGCUAAAGGCUAAACAGGAGGCUGAGAUUGCAGAGAGACAAAGACUGCUAGAAGCCAAACGCAGAGAAAUAGAACGUUUCGAGACAAUUAAGAAACUAAAGGCUGCCAAGGCACGACAGCAAGUAUAUGAACAGAGCGAGAGCUCACGUCAAACAUCUAAACAGAGUCAAUGCUCCGAUGACGACAUAAAUGAGCUGCUCCAUAAAUCUGUUCCUGUGAGGAUUAAAGAGAAAGUCAAGCAGGAACUAAGCCCAACACAGCACCAUUCUCCACCACAAGCUGUAAUGCAUCCAGCUGAAGACAACACAGCAGCUCUUGUUAGAGCACUCACAGAAUCCAUUAAUGCUAGCCGCAUGCCUGUACCUGAACCAACAAUGUUCAGCGGUGACCCACUCAGAUUCCAUGACUGGAAGGUUUCCUUUCAGACCCUCAUUGACAGGAAGAGCAUACCAGCUGAAGAAAAGAUAUACUAUCUACGCAAGUAUGUGGGUGGAUCUGCGAAGAAAGCCAUAGAGAGCUACUUCCUACUAGGCACUAAAUCAGCCUACCUUGCAGCAUGGUGCAUCCUGGAGGAGCGAUACGGUAGUCCGUUCCUCAUCGCCAAGGCUUUCAGAGAUAAGAUUGAUGCAUGGCCCAAGAUAAGUGCUAAAGGCAGUCUGGAACUUCAAGAAUUUGUUGACUUCCUUCGCAGCUGUGAGUCCGCAAUGCCUCAAAUCAAAAGUCUUGAAGUGCUAAAUGACUACAAUGAGAACCAGAAAAUACUUGCUAAACUUCCAGACUGGUUGACUUCAAGGUGGAACCGAAAGGUCAUGGAAGUGGAGGAAGAAAGUCAAACAUUCCCAAGCUUCAGCCAGUUUGUCCAGUUCCUCACACGGGAGGCCAAGAUUGCAUGCAAUCCAAUCACAUCUCUCCAUGCACUGAAACCAAGUGAAGGAGAGAAGGGUAAAGUUUUAAAGAACAGAAGUCCUGGAGCGAAGGCCUUGGCAACGAGCGCAAAUGAGAAAGCCAAUGCCACAUGCUGUGUCUUCUGUGAGAAGGUAGGGCACGGUCUGUCUGAGUGUCGUAAGUUCAUAAGGAAGGCAAUCACAGAACGACUAAAGUUCGUCCAAGAGAAGAAGUUGUGUUUUGGCUGUCUGAAGUUUGGCCAUCGUUCCAAAGACUGUGGAGACAGGAACAUCUGUAGGUUGUGUGAGAAAGGACAUCCGACAUGCCUCCAUGAUAAUCGUACAAAGGAAGAAAGGAUGCAAGCAAGGACUGGUGGAGCUAGAGACCAUGACAAGUCAAGGGAAGGGAAGGCAGAUCAGCCACAAGAUCUAGCACCAAGCACAUCACGUGAAGCAACAUCUCAUAGAGUCACCCAGAAUGGCAGAGACACUCAUACAUCCACAAUAAUUCCAGUGUGGGUGUCCACCAUGGCAGAGCCACAUAGUGAAGUUCUUGUGUAUGCACUUCUUGAUACGCAAAGUGACACAACUUUUAUCCUUGAAGAGACUGCAAAGGCACUCAAUACAAGGAGCGAACCAGUUCAGCUAAGAAUCUCUACACUAGCUUCAAGAAACACAGUUGUGUCCUGUCAGAAACUCACUGGUUUACAAGUGAGAGGGUUCUAUUCAGAUAAGAUAAUCCCACUUCCAGUGACCUACUCUAGAGAGUUUAUACCUGCAAACAGAAACCAUAUCCCUACACCAGAGACGGCAAAGGUAUGGUCUCAUCUUGAACAUAUUGCAGACGAGAUUGCUCCUCAGCAAAGCUGUGACAUCGGCUUGCUAAUUGGCUACAAUUGUCCUCAAGCUCUUGUACCAAGACAAGUGCUGCCCGGUGAAGACAAUCAACCCUUUGGACAGAGAACAGACUUGGGAUGGAGUGUGGUCGGCUACGGUGAUCCAUGCCUGAACUUUGGAGAUGCAAUUGGAGUAAGCCAUCAAGUCAUAGUGAAGCAAGUGAUGCCAGGUCUUCAGUCCUCAUCAGACCUCACAGGUGAAGUGCAUUACAUCUGUAGAACACAGAUCAAAGAAGUAAUUUUACCCGCAGAUGUCAUCAAGGUACUGGAAUCUGACUUCGCUGAAAGAGCUUCCGAAACUGACCAUGUCUCUCAAGAAGAUCUCAGAUUCUUAUCAAAAUUGAAGCAGGGAAUUGUACAUAAAAGUGAUGGUCAUUAUGAAAUGCCUUUACCAUUUAAAGGUGACAGACCCAACUUACCUGAUAACAAGGUGUGUGCCAUCCAUCGUCUCAAGUGUCUGGAAAGAAAACUGAGAAGGAAUGAGCAGUAUAAUAAAGACUACAAGGCCUUCAUGAAUGAGACCAUAAUCCGUGGAGAUGCAGAAAGGGUCGCAGAAGAAGACAUCCACAAAGGUCCAGUGUGGUAUAUCCCGCAUCAUGGGGUGUAUCAUCCCCAAAAGCCUGGGAGGAUACGAGUGGUCUUUGAUUGCUCAGCCAAGUUUCAAGGGACGUCCUUGAACGACCAUCUCUUGACAGGUCCAGAGCUGACAAACACAUUGGUGGGAGUUCUGCUUCGCUUUCGAAGAGGCCAGGUUGCAGUCAUGUGUGACAUUGAGCGAAUGUUUCACCAGUUCCACGUGAAACCAGAAGACCAAGAUUAUCUUCGGUUCCUUUGGUGGGAAAAUGGAAGUCUUGACGUCCAACCCUCCACCUAUCGAAUGAAGGUCCAUCUGUUCGGUGCAGCUUCAUCACCUGGCUGUGCCAACUAUGCACUCAAACACAUCGCAGCUGAAGGAGAAGGAUACUUCAGUGAUGACACCAUCAAAUUCAUACAGCGGAACUUUUACGUUGACGAUGGCUUGACGAGUGUAACAUCCACGAAAGAAGCAAUCCAGCUGGUGAAAGAAGCAAGAGAGCUUUGCAGCACAGGCAACCUCAGACUGCACAAGUUCAUUUCUAAUAGCAAGGAAGUCCUUGCCACCAUUCCUAAAGAAAAAUGUGCUGAAGCUGCAACAGACAAAGAUUUGGCACUUGGUGAACUGCAGAUAGAAAGAGCCCUUGGUGUGCAGUGGUGCGUGACUUCUGAUGAGUUUCAGUUCAGAGUGGUCAUCAAAGACAAACCAUUUACCCGAAGAGGAGUUUUGUCCACAGUUGCUUCAGUCUUUGAUCCGCUCGGAUUUGUGGCACCCUUCAUUCUAGUUGGAAAGCAGAUCCUACAGCAGAUGUGUAGGGAUAAGAUCAGCUGGGAUGAUACCUUACCUGAUGACCUGCGACUUCAGUGGGAAUGUUGGCUCAGAGAUCUACAAACCCUGGUUAAUGUUAAGAUCCCAAGAUGCUACGUUCCAGCAAGCUUCAAUGUACAGUAUUAUGAGCUUCACCAUUUCUCCGAUGCCAGUGUGUCGGGCUAUGGUGCAUGCUCAUAUCUCAGAGCAGUCAGUGAAACAGGUGAAGUCCACUGUUCCUUAGUUACGGGGAAAGCACGAGUUGCCCCCACCAAGGUCACAACCGUGCCAAGGCUUGAACUAUCGGCAGCAGUAGUAGCCGUCCGCAUCAGUGACAUGCUCAAAAAAGAACUGGAAUUAGAUUGUCUACAAGAAUUCUUCUGGACUGAUUCCAUGGUUGUCCUUGGGUACAUCAAUAAUGAAGCCAGAAGAUUUAAUGUAUUUGUAGCAAAUCGUGUUGAACGCAUCAAGCAAAGCACAGAAUCCACACAAUGGAAGUAUGUGGCUUCUGAAGAUAAUCCAGCAGACUACACCUCAAGGGGUCUAACAGUACAGCAGCUUGUAUCCUCUGACUGGCUCAUUGGCCCAAGGUUUCUGUGGCAGAAGGAGCUACCAAGAGGUAAAAUUAAGAUGGAAGAAAUUUCAAGUAGUGAUCCUGAACUCAAGAAGGUCCAGGUCCACAAUGUUUAUGCAAAGGAGACAAGGUCGUUGUUAGAUCGCCUGCACAAGUUCUCUGACUGGUCCAGAAUAGUAAAAGCUAUUGCCAGACUCAAGCGACAUGUGAAAGAAAUCAAGGGUCUUCAGCCAAGGUCCUGUGAAGUCACUAGCCUAGAGGAAAGGAGAGAAGCAGAGCUGACCAUAAUCAAGAUGGUUCAAGAAGCAUUCUUCUCAAAGGAGACACAAGGUAAGGACAAGUUCAAGAAGCUUUACAGAUUAAGUCCAUUUCUUGAUGGUCAAGGUAUCCUCAGGGUGGGAGGCCGCUUAACCCAUGCUGCUCUACAUCCAUAUGUUAAGCAUCCAGUGGUCCUUCCAAAGGACUGUCAUGUGUCAGCAUUACUCAUCAAGCACCAUCAUGAAAGGGUGCUCCAUCAGGGACGAGGAAUGACGAUGAAUGCACUCCGAUCCAAUGGCAUAUGGAUACUAGGCUGCAGCAAGGCAGUAUCAUCCCAUGUCUAUAAGUGCACGACAUGCAGGAAGUUCAGAAGAAGCCCAGAACAGCAAAGGAUGGCAGAUCUCCCAGAAGACAGGAUGGAAACCACCCCUCCAUUCACCUACUGUGGCAUGGAUUGUUUUGGACCAUUCUACAUUAAAGAGGGAAGAAAGGAGCUAAAACGUUAUGGGCUGUUACUUACUUGUAUGUGUUCUAGAGCAGUUCACAUUGAGAUGCUUGACGACCUGACCACGGAUGCUUUCAUUAAUGCUCUACGUUCAUUUAUCGCCAUUCGUGGAAUGGUACGCCAGAUAAGAUGUGAUCAAGGGACAAACUUUGUUGGAGCUAGACGUGAGUUUGCUGAAGCACUGAAGGAGGAAGAUCAGGAAAAGCUCAAGGAGCUUGGAUGUGAGUUUAUCAUGAACACCCCAGCCUCAAGUCACAUGGGUGGAGUCUGGGAAAGACAAAUUCGCACCAUCAAAAGUGUCUUGACAUCCAUCCUGGAACAGUCAGCCAGACAACUUGACUGCUCCUCGCUAAGAACAUUCCUGUAUGAAGUUAUGGCAGUUGUCAACAGCAGACCUCUGACCACUGAUUGUCUUAAUGACUCAUCCAGUCCAGAACCCCUUACCCCAAAUCACAUCUUGACAAUGAAGUCAACUAUUCUCGCUCCACCUCCUGGAAGGUUCAUCAAGGAAGAUCUUUACCUCCGCAAGAGAUGGCGUCGUGUUCAGCUGUUGGCCAACCUCUUCUGGAGUCGGUGGAAAAAGGAGUACCUCCUGAACCUUCAACACAGACAGAAGUGGACAAAGGAUCGCAGAGAUGCAAGGGUCAGUGACGUUGUUCUCCUGCAAGAAGAUACCACACCACGUAACCAGUGGAAGUUAGCUAAGGUCAUCGAAGUAUACCCAGGAAAGGAUGGAAAGGUCAGAAGACUGAAGUUGCUUAUCAGUGAUUCCAACCUCGAUGAGAAGGGAAAACGCGUCUCCAAACCUGUCCACCUCGAGAGACCCGUUCAUAAAACGGUGACGCUGCUGGAAGCAGCCUGAAGGCCCCAAUCUCUCUCUCUUUCUUUCCUUGUUUCUUCUCUCUCUGUCUCCCUCAAGGUACAGUCUGGUGAACAUGCCUAGGGAGCUCAAGUCCCGAAGCUAACGUUUGUUUGUUUUCUGCAUAGUAAAUUUUCAUUCUAAGUAACUUAGAGUAAAAUCAUAGAUUUGGUGGGAGUGUAACUGCCUACAAUAGCAGUGCAUAUUUUCAUGUAGUACACCUUUCGUUUUGGUUCAUACCGCCAAGGACAUUAAGAAUGUAGGCGGAACUAUAUGUCUGCAAAGGUUUCCGGGGGGACCCAUUAUAUGCACGGAUAUAUACAAGUAGUAGAAAGUUCGGUUGUCACAGCUUUCUGAAGUUAUGGCCAAGUGUUAAAAGGUGUUUAAUCUGUUCAAGAAACACUCCAAAGGAAGCUAUUCCCUCCCUGUGUUAUUUAAUGCAGCCAAUGAGGGUGUGUGUCUGGAUCAGACCUGACUGUGUGGCAAACUCCUGAAAUAAUAAACGCAGCAGAGGGUCAGCAUGUCAACAUCAGCUGCCACUUCACAGUUAAAUCAACCUGGGAACGUCUGAUGGUUGAAUGGUGGAGAAAUAAUGAAAUAGAAGUUAAAUGGGAAACAUAUGAUAUUUCUGCUCUGAACACUAUAAACCCAGAGAGCGUGAACCACAGCUCAGUACUCCAGAUUCCUUCAGUGCGUCUGAGUCACAGCGGCAUCUACACCUGUACAGUGUGGCAGGAUCUACCAAUGCUUGGAGAAAAGGUUUACGGACCAGGCACAGAGCUCAGAGUGGGUGAGUUC